AUUGGCUGGCACGAGCAUUAAGGUGUUAAUCCGAUUGGCGCUACUUCCCGUCAGUCAGCAACUGAUUACCAAUCGAUACGUCCAAUCGGUAAAUGCAAUGGGCGGUGCUUGAGCAGGGGUAUCAGGUUUUGGUCUUGUUAGGGGAAUCGAUGGCAAAAAAGGCUAAGGUUCUAUUUUUAAUACACUAGCAAGUAAAGUGGACUAAAACGCUCCAACAUGUUUUAAACCAAAGUGAUACUUUUUGCCAAAACUGGAGAAGGGGGAAACUAAGUUCCAGCCCACAGUAUCGACUAGUAUCGCAGCAGUAACUGUUUUCCCUGCAAUGGAAGAAUAAAUGUUGAUGCAGCUGAGGAGUGAAGACGGUUAGCAAAUAUGGCACGUUAAGUCCUGUAUCAGAUGCCUUGUCUGGGAGCUUCCUUGGGAAGGAUGCAAGUGGCAGAAGAGGCCUGUGCCCAACUUGAAGAUGAACUGCUC